CGCUAGCGACAGGCUUAACACAUGCAAGUCGAGGGGCAGCAUAAAGUAGCAUACUUGGUGGCGACCGGCGCACGGGUGAGUAACGCGUAUGCAACCUACCUAGUCAGAGGGGAAUAACCCGGCGAAAGUCGGACUAAUACCGCAUAAAACAGGGACACCGCAUGGUGAUAUUGUUAAAGAAAUUCGCUGAUAGAUGGGCAUGCGUUCCAUUAGGUAGUUGGUGAGGUAACGGCUCACCAAGCCGACGAUGGAUAGGGAACUGAGAGGUUGGUCCCCCACACUGGUACUGAGACACGGACCAGACUCCUACGGGAGGCAGCAGUGAGGAAUAUUGGUCAAUGGGCGAGAGCCUGAACCAGCCAAGUCGCCGUGAAGGAAGAAGGAUCUACGGUUCGUAAACUUCUUUUGCAGGGGAAUAAAGUGCAGGACGUGUCCUGUUUUGUAUGUACCCUGAGAAUAAGGAUCGGCUAACUCCGUGCCAGCCGCCGC
rnacentral:rRNA from 1 species